AGAACGAACGCUGGCGGCAGGCCUCAAACAUGCAAGUCUAGGGGGUGUAGCAAUACAUCACCGGCGGACGGGUGCGUAACGCGUAGGAAUAUACCUAUUGGUUCGGAACAACUGAGGGAAACUUCAGCUAAUACCGAAUGUGCCCUAACGGGGAAAGAUUUAUCGCCAAUGGAUUAGCCCGCGUUCGAUUAGCUAGUUGGUGGGGUAACGGCCCACCAAGGCGACGAUCGAUAGCUGUUCUGAGAGGAAGAUCAGCCACACUGGGACUGAGACACGGCCCAGACUCCUACGGGAGGCAGCAGUUGGGAAUCUUGGACAAUGGGGGAAACCCUGAUCCAGCCAUGCCGCGUGAGUGAUGAAGGCCUUCGGGUUGUAAAACUCUUUCGCGCACGACGAUAAUGACGGUAGUGCGAGAAGAAGCUCCGGCUAACUUCGCGCCAGCAGCCGC
rnacentral:rRNA from 1 species